CCUACGGGAGGCAGCAGUGGGGAAUUUUGGACAAUGGGCGCAAGCCUGAUCCAGCCAUGCCGCGUGAGUGAAGAAGGCCUUCGGGUUGUAAAGCUCUUUCGGCCGGGACGAAAUCGCAUGGGUGAAUAUCCCGUGUGGAUGACGGUACCGGAAUAAGAAGCACCGGCUAACUACGUGCCAGCAGCCGCGGUAAUACGUAGGGUGCGAGCGUUAAUCGGAAUUACUGGGCGUAAAGCGUGCGCAGGCGGUUUCGUAAGCCAGAUGUGAAAUCCCCGGGCUUAACCUGGGAACUGCAUUUGGGACUGCGAGGCUAGAGUACGGCAGAGGGAGGUGGAAUUCCACGUGUAGCAGUGAAAUGCGUAGAUAUGUGGAGGAACACCGAUGGCGAAGGCAGCCUCCUGGGCUAGUACUGACGCUCAUGCACGAAAGCGUGGGGAGCAAACAGGAUUAGAUACCCCAGUAGUC
rnacentral:rRNA from 1 species